rnacentral:rRNA from 1 species
UCCUACGGGGGGCAGCAGUGAGGAAUAUUGGUCAAUGGGAGAGAUCCUGAACCAGCCAAGCCGCGUGAGGGAAGACGGCCCUAUGGGUUGUAAACCUCUUUUGUCGGGGAGCAAAAGACGCCACGCGUGGCGUUCCGAGAGUACCCGAAGAAAAAGCAUCGGCUAACUCCGUGCCAGCAGCCGCGGUAAUACGGAGGAUGCGAGCGUUAUCCGGAUUUAUUGGGUUUAAAGGGUGCGCAGGCGGAAGAUCAAGUAAGCGGUAAAAUUGAGAGGAUAAACGUUUUAGAG